rnacentral:rRNA from 1 species
GACGAACGCUGGCGGCGUGCUUAACACAUGCAAGUCGUACGGGAAGGUCCUUUCUGGUGUACACGAGUGGCGAACGGGGGAGUAACACGUGAGUAACCUGCCCACAACUUUGGGAUAACGCUAGUAAACUGGGGCUAAUUCUGGAUAUGUGCUCCUUCUCCAUGGUGGGGGUUCGAAAGCUCCGGAGGUUGGGGAUGGACUCGCGGCCCAUCAGCUUGUUGGUGGGGUAGUGGCCUACCAAGGCGGCGACGCGUAGCCGGACUGAGAGUGUGACCGGCCACAUUGAGACUGAGAGACAGACCAGACUCCGACGGGUGGCAGAAGCGGGGAAUAUUGCACAAGGGGAGCAAGCCUGAUGCAGAACCGCCGCGGGCGGGAUGACGGUCUUCGGGUUGUAAACCGCUAGCAGCAGGAACGAAGCUUUUUGUGACGGUACCUGCAGAAGAAGCACCGGCUAACUACGUG